rnacentral:rRNA from 1 species
AUUGAACGCUGGCGGCAUGCCUUACACAUGCAAGUCGAACGGUAACAGGUUAAGCUGACGAGUGGCGAACGGGUGAGUAAUAUAUCGGAACGUGCCCAGUCGUGGGGGAUAACUGCUCGAAAGAGCAGCUAAUACCGCAUACGACCUGAGGGUGAAAGCGGGGGAUCGCAAGACCUCGCGCGAUUGGAGCGGCCGAUAUCAGAUUAGGUAGUUGGUGGGGUAAAGGCCCACCAAGCCAACGAUCUGUAGCUGGUCUGAGAGGACGACCAGCCACACUGGGACUGAGACACGGCCCAGACUCCUACGGGAGGCAGCAGUGGGGAAUUUUGGACAAUGGGCGCAAGCCUGAUCCAGCCAUGCCGCGUGCGGGAAGAAGGCCUUCGGGUUGUAAACCGCUUUUGUCAGGGAAGAAAAGGCUUCUGCUAAUACCGGAGGCUCAUGACGGUACCUGAAGAAUAAGCACCGGCUAACUACGUGCCAGCAGCCGCCGUAA